rnacentral:rRNA from 1 species
CAGAGAACUUAGCAGACAUGCUUUGGUGCCUUCGGGAACUCUGAGACAGGUGCUGNAUGGCUGUCGUCAGCUCGUGUUGUGAAAUGUUGGGUUAAGUCCCGCCAACGGAAGCGGCAACCCUUAUCCUUUGUUGCCAGCGGUCCGGCCGGGAACUCAAAGGAGACUGCCAGUGAUAAACUGGAGGAAGGUGGGGAUGACGUCAAGUCAUCAUGGCCCUUACGAGUAGGGCUACACACGUGCUACAAUGGCAUAUACAAAGAGAAGCGACCUCGCGAGAGCAAGCGGACCUCAUAAAGUAUGUCGUAGUCCGGAUUGGAGUCUGCAACUCGACUCCAUGAAGUCGGAAUCGCUAGUAAUCGUGGAUCAGAAUGCCACGGUGAAUACGUUCCCGGGGUCUUGUAC